rnacentral:rRNA from 1 species
AUGUCAAAGGCUUGCACGCAUGAACUACAGCGGGUGCAGACAAAGUUGCAGAUCCCAGCCAUGACGCAAACUAGUACUGCUAAUAAUCAAACCAAAAUCACCUUCCACCUCAACGUGUCAUCCGUUCAUCCAUACACUGUCACUUUACCAAGUGACUCUGAAUCGGCCAGGUCGAAUCGAUCGCUCGUGAGAAAGUUCCCGACCCAGUUUACCCAGACCGGCACGCCAACCCCGACAGCUACCGUUACCAACACACACACACACGCUUUCACCUCCAGAGCACGCACCGCGCAGAGAAAUACAGUACUGUAG